rnacentral:rRNA from 1 species
UGCUAAUACAUGCAAGUCGAGCGAACAGAUGAGAAGCUUGCUUCUCUGAUGUUAGCGGCGGACGGGUGAGUAACACGUGGGUAACCUACCUAUAAGACUGGGAUAACUCCGGGAAACCGGGGCUAAUACCGGAUAAUAUUUUGAACCGCAUGGUUCAAUAGUGAAAGACGGUUUCGGCUGUCACUUAUAGAUGGACCCGCGCCGUAUUAGCUAGUUGGUAAGGUAACGGCUUACCAAGGCGACGAUACGUAGCCGACCUGAGAGGGUGAUCGGCCACACUGGAACUGAGACACGGUCCAGACUCCUACGGGAGGCAGCAGUAGGGAAUCUUCCGCAAUGGGCGAAAGCCUGACGGAGCAACGCCGCGUGAGUGAUGAAGGUCUUCGGAUCGUAAAACUCUGUUGUUAGGGAAGAACAAAUUUGUUAGUAACUGAACAAGUCUUGACGGUACCUAACCAGAAAGCCACGGCUAACUACGUGCCAGCAGCCGCGGUAAUACGUAGGUGGCAAGCGUUAUCCGGAAUUAUUGGGCGUAAAGCGCGCGUAGGCGGUUUCUUAAGUCUGAUGUGAAAGCCCACGGCUCAACCGUGGAGGGUCAUUGGAAACUGGGAAACUUGAGUGCAGAAGAGGAGAGUGGAAUUCCAUGUGUAGCGGUGAAAUGCGCAGAGAUAUGGAGGAACACCAGUGGCGAAGGCGGCUCUCUGGUCUGUAACUGACGCUGAUGUGCGAAAGCGUGGGGAUCAAACAGGAUUAGAUACCCUGGUAGUCCACGCCGUAAACGAUGAGUGCUAAGUGUUAGGGGGUUUCCGCCCCUUAGUGCUGCAGCUAACGCAUUAAGCACUCCGCCUGGGGAGUACGACCGCAAGGUUGAAACUCAAAGGAAUUGACGGGGACCCGCACAAGCGGUGGAGCAUGUGGUUUAAUUCGAAGCAACGCGAAGAACCUUACCAAAUCUUGACAUCCUUUGACCGCUCUAGAGAUAGAGUCUUCCCCUUCGGGGGACAAAGUGACAGGUGGUGCAUGGUUGUCGUCAGCUCGUGUCGUGAGAUGUUGGGUUAAGUCCCGCAACGAGCGCAACCCUUAAGCUUAGUUGCCAUCAUUAAGUUGGGCACUCUAGGUUGACUGCCGGUGACAAACCGGAAGAAAGGUGGGGAUGACGUCAAAUCAUCAUGCCCCUUAUGAUUUGGGCUACACACGUGCUACAAUGGAUAAUACAAAGGGCAGCGAAUCCGCGAGGCCAAGCAAAUCCCAUAAAAUUAUUCUCAGUUCGGAUUGUAGUCUGCAACUCGACUACAUGAAGCUGGAAUCGCUAGUAAUCGUAGAUCAGCAUGCUACGGUGAAUACGUUCCCGGGUCUUGUACACACCGCCCGUCACACCACGAGAGUUUGUAACACCCGAAGCCGGUGGAGUAACCUUUUAGGAGCUAGCCGUCGAAGGUGGACAAAGG